rfam:Sorghum bicolor cultivar BTx623 chromosome 4, whole genome shotgun sequence.
GUGUGCCUGGCUCCCUGUAUGCCACACAUGUAGCCCAACCCAUAUGCUAAGGUUGCCUGCUGUGGGUGGCGUGCAAGGGGCCAAGCAUGC